GACGAACCUUGCUAACGUUAUUCGGAAUUACUGGGCUUAAAGGGUGCGUAGGCGGUGCGGAAAGUCGGGUGUGAAAUCCCCCAGCUCAACUGGGGAACUGCGCCUGAAACUGCCGUACUCGAGGAAGACAGAGGUACGCGGAACUUAGGGUGGAGCGGUGAAAUGCGUAGAUAUCGAGAGGAACACCUGCGGCGAAGGCGGGUAGCUGGGCCGACACUGACGCUGAUGCGCGAAAGCCAGGGGAGCGAACGGG
rnacentral:rRNA from 1 species